GCGGCCCAUGCCCCCCAACCAAGCUAGCCAUCCUCUACCGCAGUAUAAAGUCAGCUGGGGAGCUCCAGUGAGGAGGCCUUUGGGGGACCAGGGAGGGAGAGGUCCCCCUGCCCCUGCUGGUCUCCUCCUCUCUUCUAUCCGAGCUCAGCGGAACUCGAUCGAGCUGCCUGCAUGCGUCGGCAUCUGCUGCGAGAGAGAAGCUCGGAGUUGGAGAUGCCGUGAUCUGGGUUGUCGAUCAGCUGGCGCGGCCUCCCGCGGCAUUGGUGCCGGUCACCGGAGCUCGGAUGGAAGGAGAAGGAAAAAAAACGGGUCAGGUGGCUAGCAGCUUCUGUUUUUUUAUUUAUUUCCACUUUGGUCGAUUGCUGUUGUAGAUUAACUGCUUUGUUGGGAGAGGACUUGUAAAACGUGUUUUUGCAGGAUCAAGCUCCCACUUCCCUCCUAAGAUUUCUUUGUCCUCGCAAAAUCGAUGUCUUUGAUGUGGCCUCGUGCAUGUUUCA